CGAGGUCAAGGAUAGUUUGAAUUUGGAUACAACAUCGUGGCUAAAUGGAAAAAUCAAGGUAGGGAAUUCAAAGUUUGCGACCUGGGUUGAUGGUCCACAACUUUAGACUCCAGAAGAUUUUGGAAAUUAAGGCAAAGGAGCUCUCGUCAGUCCUUGCCAAUGACUGUAUGAUCUAAGCGCCUUGCAGGGCGUGUUCUGCACGUAGCAUGAGAGACUGACCUGAGUAGGGAGGGUGAAGGUGAAACGGAGAUCUGCGUGCGGUUUUCAGAGGUGACGAGAUCCUGCAGGGUUCGGCUCAUGUCGCGGAGCUGGGCCAUGGUGCAGCUCCGCAGCACGGAGCCUUCCAACUCCUCGGCCUCCACCUGCUGCUCCUCCUGCUGGAUCUGCUGCUCCAGGCAUCGGCUGCGGUCCUUCAUCUCCGUCAGCCUCCUCUGCAGCUCUGCUAUCUCCAUCUGCACAGGUUUCAUUUAUGAUCCUUGUGUUCAUUAUCAGUCGUUUCUCCUGGAUCAGGCGAUCUUUUCGAUGCAGUGGACCGUGCGAUGAUUCUGACCUCUCCCCUGCAUCGUGCUCCACAUCCUUCCUGACAACCAGUCACCAAAAAACAGUCAAACCUCAGCAAUGUUCAAAACAAUUCUAACUUUUUUCACAUUUCAAGGUCCUACUGGUUUUCAGUUGAGCUUAUGUGGGUGUGUACUGGGACAUUGAAAUAUGUAUAUUUAUCAAUCACUAAAGCUAUUUGAACCCGAUUUUGUACUGCUUUUCCUACUAGUUUUUCAGCUUACUGAAAUAGAAUGGAAGAAUGUCUAACAGGGGUGACUUUGGGAACAUGUUUUUUUUAGAUUCAGGUAUGUGUGGAGAACACAGAAACACAAAAUCACUGCAUGAGGUUACAUUUGUCCAGGAUACCCUCUAGAAAGGCCCCACCUGAUUUCCUUCCUGUUGAAAGAGCUAUUUUUGUCAUCCCUCUCAAAAUACUCUGUCUUACGACAUAAUAAUGAAAGAUAAAGCAUGAGCAGUAUCACAGCACAGAGUUUAUAAGCUCAUUGUACCCAUAAAACUAGUUACUCAUUCUACAGUAUAAGCCUCUGUUUUCAAAAUAAAUCUCAC